AGGCAGUCUGCUUCCCCUGGGGUGCUCUCAAGAUGGACCCUGCGCAACUCCCCUGCCAAACGGAUCAGUAGGAAGAUAACGUCCGAAAGGGUAGAGACCAGUGGAAGGCUGCUGCAAUAAUUCCAGGAGAGGGGAUGGUGGCUCAGACCAGGAUGGUGAUGGUGAAAGGGGCAAGAAGUGGUCAGAUUCUGCAUAUAUUUAAAGUGAGUGGCCAGAUGGGUAUCUUCAACUCCAUUUUACAGAAAAGGCAACUGCAACCCAAUCACUUGCCCAAAGUCAUACUCCAAGAAAGUGGACCUUGCCUCAAGUGCUCAGGAUCCCUUCUCCAGGGUCUGUGGACACGUCCCAUCUGUGGAGCAGAUGUGAAGGACCCCUGGCACUGACCAUGGCUCUGCUACUACUCUGGACUUUAUGGCUUGGUCUUCUUCAUAGCAUAGGGCUCCCACAGUUUUGGGAAAUCCUCCCUGCCUAUCUGAGCACAGGCCAGGCUGCCUGGCCCCAAUCACUCCGGCACAGAGCAACUUGGGCUAAAGUCAGCGCAUCUGAGGUCAGUCACCAGUGCCCUGCUGAGCUGUGUUGGAGCCUGAGGCAAAAGGAGAACUGU
rnacentral:lncRNA from 1 species